rnacentral:lncRNA from 1 species
UUUAGGGACAAUAUAUAUCAUACAAACAAUGGAACACACACUGUUACAUGUUAUAAUCUACAAGGUGAAAUGCAAUGGACAUUCCAAAAUAAAAGCAUUCUUAAGAUUCCUCUCGGUAUAGAUGUAGAUAUUGAUGGUAAUGUGUACGUGGUGGGAUACCAAUCUAACAAUGUGGUAGUUAUCUCCCCUGAUGGACAACGGCAUAGAGAAGUGUUGACAGCAAGUGAUGGUCUAAGUGAACCUGUCUCACUGCAUAAUAG